CACGACCCUCGAGCCCGCCGGCUCGGUGUUGGGGGACCGGCCCGGGCCGCCCCCGAAACGCAGUGGCGACCGCCCACGCGAACCCCCCAGCGCGGAACAGCCGCAGGGCGAAGGGGGCCCGCGAGGUCGGUCACGCCGUGAAACGACCCACCCAGCAGACGU
rnacentral:misc_RNA from 1 species